GACGAACGCUGGCGGCGUGCUUAACACAUGCAAGUCGAACGAAGAGCGAUGGAAGCUUGCUUCUAUCAAUCUUAGUGGCGAACGGGUGAGUAACGCGUAAUCAACCUGCCCUACAGAGGGGGACAACAGUUGGAAACGACUGCUAAUACCGCAUACGAUCUAACCUCGGCAUCGAGGAAAGAUGAAAGGUGGCCUCUAUGUAUAAGCUAUCACUGAAGGAGGGGAUUGCGUCUGAUUAGCUAGUUGGAGGGGUAACGGCCCACCAAGGCGAUGAUCAGUAGCCGGUCUGAGAGGAUGAACGGCCACAUUGGGACUGAGACACGGCCCAGACUCCUACGGGAGGCAGCAGUGGGGAAUCUUCCGCAAUGGACGAAAGUCUGACGGAGCAACGCCGCGUGAGUGAUGACGGCCUUCGGGUUGUAAAGCUCUGUUAAUCGGGACGAAAGGCCUUCUUGCGAAUAGUAGAAGGA
rnacentral:rRNA from 1 species